UUCAAGUUCGUGCGAUCGAUCAUAUGUUUUCUUUGUGUAGUUUUUUCAGCCGCUGUAAUUCGAAUUGGUUAUAAAGUUCACGUGUUAAAGGGCCUAUUUAUUACUUUAAGCAGUGAUAAGAGCGGAUCUAUAGUAUUGAACUCGUGAAGAGUGUUUUUCGAACAAAAAAUAAGUAGUGCAUAAAGUUGCAUUUCAAUGUGCACGUGCUUGCAUUUUUCAGGCUAACUCAUUAAUUUUUCAGUAAAGUGGUGUAAAUAAGAGGCGUGUAUUAUAAAGCAAGUCUUUAGUAUUGUUAUUUAGAGUCUUCCGCGUGGUUGAGAGCGGUUUCCUUGAUCAACGUGAUCGUAAAUAAUUAGGUGUGUGUGGUAUUCCUAGGUACUUGGUUAUUAUAACAGGUUAUCACGAUGAGUUCUAUUUCUUCGAGAAGUGCUCUUACGGAUGAAGUGAUCGUGAUGAAUGCACCAAUGAUGCAAUAUACAAAGUGCAGUGUUAUUUGUGCCACAGAUAAUCAAGUGGAAAUUAAUUGUAGAAUUUAUAGUGCAAUCGACCAUAUAAAAAGGUGAUAAAAAGUGUGAACAGCAAGUUUUAAAAAAAAUAAUUAUUUGUGUAGUGUGCCUAUUGGAUGCAGUGAUCUUCGUUAGAUGGCGCUGUUGGGAUUAUUGCUAAGCAAGUGAGAUGCUUGUGCUAUUCGCCGCUAGGUGGCGUUGGUCUGGGUUCAACACUGAUAACUUCUGAUAACAAGUUGAACCGAACACGACCUUGGUUCGAGUAAACUCGAGAAAUCAACGCCAUCGAAUUCUUCUCACCACUUGCAGCAAUGAUACAACGCGAUAUAUCUUUUACAAAAAAGUUCCUUCGGUCUUCGGCACAUCCACCAUUCAAGAUCUACAAUUAGAUUGGGCUCUUAAUGUUACAAAGACAUUUCCAGAUUCAUUGUAAUCUUUCCAUUGAAGUAUAACCUAGCAACAAGUGGACCACAAAAAACUGGCAGUUGACUAUUAUCACCAAGUUCAACAUUACUUAUUAUUAUUUAUUUUAUUAUUUUUUUGUCAACUUUCAUUACGUGAUAAAGUUUCAUUACAGUUUAUUGUGUAAUUACUUAAAAUUGAUUUGUAACAUUUAGCAGCCCAAUGUUAUCACAUGAUCUUAUGAAUAAUGUUAAAACAAACAUUUACAUUGAAAAGGUCUUGGAGGGAAUCGAAAAAAUGCUCUUGUUAGUUUAUAAGUUAUAUGACUUUGCCGAUUGUGAUCUUCGUAACAUUUUUUUGUUUUCCUUCGUGAUCCUGAAAAGUUCGCGCAUUUAUAUUAUUUAUGUUGUUGUUAAAUACAUUUUUAUUUAUGUGUAAAGUUUUAUUUGAAUUUUGAAUAAUAUUGACUAACAAAUACUAAACAUUCUAACGCAUGACUUUAUAUUUUACGAAUCCAACUCGCGAGUGUGCAUGACUUGAUGUUGUUAUAGAUUUAUUUUUAAUUUUACACAUUGUUAAUUGUUUAGACUACCUGCUACGCUGACAUGCUUUUGUUAAUUUAAAUGUGAUAAUUAUUAUUGAUUUUGAAAUGUUUACUUCAACAAUUUUUAUAUCAUGUGAUCAAAAUGUAAGAGAUCUGUAAUUAUUCGUACGCCUUGCUCCAUAAAACUUGAUUUUAGGCUAAAUCGAAUCAGUCACUUAAAUUCGAGUUUUAGUUUAUGCAUGGCAAUACCCGGGGAUUGCAUUCUAGUUUUUUUAAGAAGAAAAAUUUGAUUAUGCAAUCUGAUUUAUUUGAAAUCGAUGUUAUUUUAUUAAAUUUGAUUAUAAUCAAUAAACAU